ensembl:lncRNA
UUUUUUUUUUUUUUUUUUGAGAUGGAGUUUUGCUGUUGUUGCCCAGGCUGGAGUGCAAUGGCACCAUCUCGGUUCACUGAGACCUCCGCCUCCUGAGUUCAAGUGAUUCUCCUGCCUCAGCCUCCUGAGUAGCUGGGAUUUUUGUAUUUUUAGUAGAGACGGGGUUUCACCAUGUUGGUCAGGCUGGUCUUGAACUCCUGACCUCAGGUGAUCUGCCCACUUUGGCCUCCCAAAGUGCUGGGAUUACAGGUGUGAGCCACCGCACCCAGCUAAUUUUGUAUUUUAUGUAGACACGGAGUUUCACCACGUUGCCCAGGCUGAUCUUAGACUCCUGGGCUCAAGCCAUCUGCCCACCUCAGCCUUCCAAAGUGCUGGAUUAUAUGUCUGAGCCACAGUGCCCAGCCCAAAAGCCCCAUUUCUGUACCCUGGCAUUGGAGCCUUCUUGUUUAGCCUGUAACCUAUGUUUUCCACUUGGCUUAUCUGAUGGUUAAUUAUAUGUAUCAACCUGUCUGGGCUAAGAGAUGCCCAGAUAGCUGGUAAAACAUUAUUUCUGGGUCUGACUGGGACAGUGUUUGCAGAAGAGAUAAGCAUUUAAAUCAGUAGACAGAAAAGUUCUGCCUUCACCCAUGUGAGCAGGCAUCAUCCAAUCCACUGUGGGUCCAGACAGAACAAAAAGGCAGGGUGAAGGCACAUCUGCACCCUCUUCUGAAGCGGGGCCAUCCAUCUUCUCCUGCCCUUGGACAUCAGAGCUCCAGGUACUCAGGUCUUCAGACUCAGGCUGAAGGACGCCACCAACUUCCCAGGUUCCCCAGCUUGCAGACGGCAUACGGUGGGACUUCUUGGCCUUUAGAAUCACGUGAGCUAAUUCCUGCAAUAAAUCCCCUCUUCCAUAUCUCUCAUAUAUGCCUCUGUAUAUCCUGUUGGUUCUGUUUCUCUGGAGAACUCUGGAGAACUAAUUCAAUUUCCAAUCCUCCAGGACCCUGGGGGUUAAUCUGAGUUCUUUCCCUUCACAUUUCACCUCUCAUCAGUGGGCAGCCCCUGUUGGUUUGGUGGAACAAGUGAAGUCAUUGAGUACUAACUGAGUACUUCAGUACUAACCGAACUGAGUACUUACUGUGUGGUAGGCACCACAUGAGGAGCUGGCAUACAGAAUUAAAUAAACCAGGACCUCUGCUCUGGAUGCACUGACAACUAGUGAGGGAGAAAAACAGAAAAACAACUCAUUUGCAUACAUUUCGUUCUAAACGCCGUGAUGCACGGAGGGAAUGUACUUGCACCAGCCUAGGGACUCAGUGGGGGUUUCAGGAGAGGCCAAGUUGGGACUUUUUGAGCAAGAGUGAUCCAGAGGACAUUAAGGAGAUCCAGGCAGUAGAAAUGGUUGGCCUUGAAGAGCUUUUGCAGGGAAAACAGAAAUGGGCAUAGCCACACUCUCCUUGUCCCCAACACCUUUUUUGAAGGGAGCAAGAGGAAGAAGAAUCUGAGAAGAAAGAAAAAAAAUAUAGUCAGAGAAGUAGAAGAACCAGUAGGAAAUGCAGUCACAAAGUCAAAAGAAGAGAGAUUAUCCUGAGAGAAC